rnacentral:rRNA from 1 species
CAGGCUUAACACAUGCAAGUCGAGGGGCAGCAUGGUCUUAGCUUGCUAAGGCCGAUGGCGACCGGCGCACGGGUGAGUAACACGUAUCCAACCUGCCGUCUACUCUUGGACAGCCUUCUGAAAGGAAGAUUAAUACAAGAUGGCAUCAUGAGUCCGCAUGUUCACAUGAUUAAAGGUAUUCCGGUAGACGAUGGGGAUGCGUUCCAUUAGAUAGUAGGCGGGGUAACGGCCCACCUAGUCUUCGAUGGAUAGGGGUUCUGAGAGGAAGGUCCCCCACAUUGGAACUGAGACACGGUCCAAACUCCUACGGGAGGCAGCAGUGAGGAAUAUUGGUCAAUGGGCGAGAGCCUGAACCAGCCAAGUAGCGUGAAGGAUGACUGCCCUAUGGGUUGUAAACUUCUUUUAUAAAGGAAUAAAGUCGGGUAUGGAUACCCGUUUGCAUGUACUUUAUGAAUAAGGAUUGGCUAACUCCGUGCCAGCAGCCGCGGUAAUACGGAGGAUCCGAGCGUUAUCCGGAUUUAUUGGGUUUAAAGGGAGCGUAGAUGGAUGUUUAAGUCAGUUGUGAAAGUUUGCGGCUCAACCGUAAAAUUGCAGUUGAUACUGGAUAUCUUGAGUGCAGUUGAGGCAGGCGGAAUUCGUGGUGUAGCGGUGAAAUGCUUAGAUAUCACGAAGAACUCCGAUUGCGAAGGCAGCCUGCUAAGCUGCAACUGACAUUGAGGCUCGAAAGUGUGGGUAUCAAACAGGAUUAGAUACCCUGGUAGUCCACACGGUAAACGAUGAAUACUCGCUGUUUGCGAUAUACUGCAAGCGGCCAAGCGAAAGCGUUAAGUAUUCCACCUGGGGAGUACGCCGGCAACGGUGAAACUCAAAGGAAUUGACGGGGGCCCGCACAAGCGGAGGAACAUGUGGUUUAAUUCGAUGAUACGCGAGGAACCUUACCCGGGCUUAAAUUGCAGAUGAAUUACGGUGAAAGCCGUAAGCCGCAAGGCAUCUGUGAAGGUGCUGCAUGGUUGUCGUCAGCUCGUGCCGUGAGGUGUCGGCUUAAGUGCCAUAACGAGCGCAACCCUUGUUGUCAGUUACUAACAGGUUCCGCUGAGGACUCCGACAAGACUGCCAUCGUAAGAUGUGAGGAAGGUGGGGAUGACGUCAAAUCAGCACGGCCCUUACGUCCGGGGCUACACACGUGUUACAAUGGGGGGUACAGAGGGCCGCUACCACGCGAGUGGAUGCCAAUCCCCAAAACCUCUCUCAGUUCGGACUGGAGUCUGCAACCCGACUCCACGAAGCUGGAUUCGCUAGUAAUCGCGCAUCAGCCACGGCGCGGUGAAUACGUUCCCGGGCCUUGUACACACCGCCCGUCAAGCCAUGGGAGCCGGGGGUACCUGAAGUGCGUAACCGCGAGGAGCGCCCUAGGGUAAAACUGGUGACUGGGGCUAAGUC